rnacentral:rRNA from 1 species
UACAGAGGUCCCAAGCGUUGGUUCGGAUUCACUGGGCGUAAAGGGUGCGUAGGUGGGCGAGGUAAGUUUGAUGGUGAAAUCUCCGGGCUUAACCCGGAAAUGGCAUUGAAUACUAUCUGGCUCGAGGGUUGGAGGGGGACUGGAAUUGCUCGGUGUAGCAGUGAAAUGCGUAGAUAUCGAGAGGAACACCGGUGGCGAAGGCGGAGUCCCCUGGAC